rnacentral:rRNA from 1 species
UGAGUGAUCCCAUGCUUCCUAGAAAAGCCGCGUACAGAGCUCCUCUAGUGAUCGUACUACAAACCGACUCAGGUGGGCGGGGUGAAUAUCCCAAGGCGCGUGAGAGAACCCUGGUUAAGGAACUCAGCAAAUUUACACCGUAACUUCGGGAGAAGGUGUGCCUUUUUGGGUGAUGGGACAUGCUCCCUGAGCCCGAGGAGGUCGCAGUUAAAUGGCGGUUGUGACUGUUUACUAAAAACACAGGACUCUGCGAAGUCGUAAGACGACGUAUAGGGUCUGAUGCCUGCCCGGUGCUGGAAGGUUAAGGGGAUAUGUCAGGGGCAACCCGAAGCAUUGAACCGAAGCCCCAGUAAACGGCGGCCGUAACUAUAACGGUCCUAAGGUAGCGAAAUUCCUUGUCGGGUAAGUUCCGACCUGCACGAAUGGCAUAACAACAUCCGCACUGUCUCGACCAGGGACUCAGCGAAAUUGCAUAGGGGGUGAAGAUGCCCUCUACCCGCGGCAAGACGGAAAGACCCCAUGAACCUUCACUGCAACUUGGCAGUGAUUUUCGGGUUAUUCUGCGUAGGAUAGGUGGGAGGCGUUGAUGCCGGGUUUCCGGAUUCGGCGGAGCCACCCUUGAAAUACCACCCUGGAUAAUCUGGAAAUCUAACCUGCACCCGUGAUCCGGGUGAGGGACACUGCCUGGUGGGCAGUUUGACUGGGGCGGUCACCUCCUAAAGCGUAACGGAUGUGCGCGAAGGUUCCCUCAGGCUGAUUGGAAACCAGCCGUAGAGUGUAAACGCAUAAGGGAGCUUUACUGUGAGACCGACAGGUCGAUCAGUUGCGAAAGCAGGCGUUAGUGAUCCGGUGGUACCGUAUGGAAGGGCCAUCGCUCAACGGAUAAAAGGUACUCUGGGGAUAACAGGCUGAUCGCGCCUGAGAGUUCAUAUCGGCGGCGCGGUUUGGCACCUCGAUGUCGGCUCAUCGUAUCCUGGGGCUGGAGCAGGUCCCAAGGGUUUGGCUGUUCGCCAAUUAAAGCGGUACGCGAGCUGGGUUUAAAACGUCGUGAGACAGUUUGGUCCCUAUCUGCCGUGGGCGUAGGACACUUGAGAGCAGCUGACCAUAGUACGAGAGGACCUGGUUGGACGUACCUCUGGUGCGCCGGUUGUCACGCCAGUGGCAUAGCCGGGUAGCCAUGUACGGAACGGAUAACCGCUGAAAGCAUAUAAGCGGGAAGCCGGUCUCGAGAUUAGGCGUCCCUGCCGAAAGGCACUCAAGGCCCCUUGUAGACUACGAGGUAAUAGGUCGGGUGUGGAAGCGCAGCAAUGCGCGGAGCUAACCGAUACUAAUAGGCACGUGAGGCUUGACCUC